rnacentral:rRNA from 1 species
GCCCUAGGUUAGGUAGGAUUACCUAUUGAGUUUAAGUAUACCAAUAAGCAAAGGUAAAGAAACUUAGUAGGAUUUCCUUGUAACAAUGAGCAAAUCAAGAAGAGCCCUACACAAGAAUCGAGUGCCUACGACAUUCAAAUUAUAGUAUGGUGAAGCAUCCUCCAGGUAGACCCGACCUAAGUUUCUUGGAAAGGGGCACAAAAAAGGUAAGAGCCCCAUUGUGCCUGGACCCUAUUGUACCAUUAGGCAUUGUAUACGAGUUAGGUUGUUUGGGAAUGCAUCCCUAAUUGGGAGGUAAAUUCUAUCCAAGGUUGAAUAUAGGUAAGAGACCGAUAGCGAACAAGUAUCGUGAGGGAAAGAUGAAAAGGACUUUGAAAAGAAAGUCAAACAGUGCAUGAAAUUAUCAAGAAGGAAGCAGAUAAUGGCCAACAAUGCAACCUAGUUGGAUGUGGAAUGACGAAAGUCAAUCCACCGAUUGACUUGAGGUGUGGACCACACAGGUUACGGUAGUGGCCCGGGCUUGGGCUUUCGAUAUGCUUGUAGAGACAUCAUCAUUGUAAUCAUGGAAUAUAGCAUGCAUUGUCUUAGCUUACCUCAACACCUACAUGCUCCUGGCAUCUGCCUACGAGCUCCCCAUCUGGCCUAUCUUGAAACAUGGACCAAGGAAUCUAACAUGUGUGUGAAUCAAUAGACUAGAAAACUCGUAAGGCAUAAGGAAGCUGAUUGGCAGGAUCCCUCGUGGGUGCACCAUUGAUCGACCUUGAUAUUCUAAGAAGGGUUUUAGUGUGAGCAUGCCUAUCGAGACUCGAAAGAUGGUGAACUAUGCUUAAACCAGAUGAAGCUAGAGGAAACUCUAUUGGAGGGCCACAGCGAUAUUAUCAUACAAAUCAUUUGUGUGACUUAGGUAUAGGGGUAAAAGAUUAAUCGAACUGACUAGUAGCUAGUUCCCUUUGAAGUUUCCCUCAAGAUAGCUAGAGCCUUUAGUGAGUUCUAUCAGCUAAAGCAAUUCGUAGCUAGAGCCCUCGACCUAUUCUCAAACUUUAAAUAGCUAAAGCGAUGUGGUUGCUUCAUUGAGCAGUGCCAUAGAAUCGAGAGCACCAAGUGGGCCAUUUUUGGUAAGCAAAAUUGGCAAUGCAGGAUGAAUUAGAAGUUGGGUUAUGGUGCCCAACUAUAUGCUAAACUAGAACCCAUAAAGGUGUUGGUGGAUUAAGAUAGUGAAAUGGUGGUCAUUGAAGUCAAAAUCUGCUAAGGAAUGUUAACAACUCACUUGCCAAAUCAACUAGCCCCAAAAAUGGAUGGCUUUUAAAAGUGCGAUCUAUACUUGGCUGUCGAGGCAAGGGCCAAGCCCCGAUAAGUAGGAGGGGCGGUGCUGCAAAACCCAAGGUGUGAGCCCAGGUGGAGUAGCCGUCAGUGUGGAUCUUGGUGGUACUAGCAAAUAUUGAAAUGAGAACUUUGAAGGCCAAAGAGGGAAAAGGUUCCAUGUGAGUGAGUCCAACAUGAGCUUCGAAAGGCAUUUGGGGUUAAAAUUCUUAAACCAAGAUAUGAUGAUUGCUGGCAACAUUAAGAGUCUAGAGACAUUGGUGCCUUUUUGUUUAAUGGCCUGCCCACCUUAAAAAUAGCUCAAUUGGUGGGAAGGUUUAGUGGCUAGAAGAGCACUGCAUGUCACUUGGUGUUUGGUGUACCCCUAGUAGCCCUUGAAAAUCUAGAGGAUCGAGUGCAGUUUGUGCUCGGUCAUACUCAUAAUCAUAAUAGGUCUCCAAGGUGAAUUGCAUCUGGUUGAUGGAAUGCAAGCAAGGAAAGUUGGCAAAAUGAAUCUGUAACAUCAGGAAAAGGAUUGGCUCUAAGGACUGGGCAUGGGAUCCCAGUCCCGAACCCAUCAACUACCAGUGCACUACUUAAGCUACUCUCAUGGUGAGAGCAGGUCGACUCAUUCUGGCUGGAGGAUGGACUGGGAAUGGCUCCCUCAAGGCCCUUCCCUGGGCAAUGAACAGUCAACUCAUAACUAGUUCAAACAAGGGGAAUCUGACUAUUUAAUUAAAACAAAGCAUUGCAAUGAUCCUUGUGGAUGCUUAUGCAAUUUGAUCUCUGUCUCUCUGAAUGUCAAAGUGAAGAAAUUCAACCAAGCAUGAGUAAAUGGCAGGAGUAACUAUGACUCCCUUAAGGUAGCCAAAUGCCUCAUUAUUUAAUUAGUAACAUGCAUGAAUGGAUUAAUGAGAUUCCCAUGUCCCUGUCUACUAUCUAUCAAAACCAUAGCCAAGGGAACGGGCAUGGUCGAAUCAAUGGGGAAAGAAGACCUUGUUAAGCUUAACUCUAGUCUUACUCUGUGAAAUGACUUAAGAGGUGUAGUAUAAGUGGGAGGCUUCAGAAGAAAUUGAAUUACCACUAUUUAUAACAUUAUUUUACUUAUUCUAUGAAUCGGAGGUGAGGCAUGACCCCUUUUCUGGACCCAAGGCCAGCUUCAAUCAGUCAAUCUAGGUAGAAGACAUCGUCAGGUAAGGAGUUUGGCUAGGGCAGCACAUUUGUUAAAAGAUAACGCAAGUGUCAUAAGAUGAGCUCAAUGAGAGCAAAAAUCUCAUGUGUAACAAAAGGGUAAAAAGCACUUUUUAUUUUGAUUUCCAGUACAAAUAUGAACCAUUAAAGCAUGGCCUAUCAAUCAUUUAAACCAUUGGAAUUUAAAGAUAGAGAUGUCAUAAAGGUUACCACAGGGAUAACUGGCUUGUGGUAGCCAUGUGUUCAUAGCAACUUGCUUUUUAAUCCUUCGAUGUCGGCUCUUCCUAUCAUUGUGAAGCAGAAUUCACCAAGUGUUCGAUUGUUCACCCACUAAUAGGGAAUGUGAGAUGGGUUUAGACCCUCAAUCGAAUGAAUGGCCACCUACUUUGCCACACAUUGGUGCACCUCGUUGAAUGGGACCCAUCACACUAAUCGCAUGCCUGCGACACU